rnacentral:rRNA from 1 species
UGGGGUAUAUUGCACAAUGGGCGGAAGCCUGAUGCAGCGACGCCGCGUGGGGGAUGAAGGCCUUCGGGUUGUUAACUCCUUUCGACAGGGACGAAGCUUUUGUGACGGUACCUGUAUAAGAAGCACCGGCUAACUACGUGCCAGCAGCCGCGGUAAUACGUAGGGUGCGAGCGUUGUCCGGAAUUACUGGGCGUAAAGAGCUCGUAGGUGGUUUGUCGCGUCGUCUGUGAAAUUCCGGGGCUUAACUCCGGGCGUGCAGGCGAUACGGGCUGACUUGAGUGCGGGAGGGGAGACUGGAAUUCCUGGUGUAGCAGAGAAAUGCGCAGAUAUCAGGAGGAACACCGAUGGCGAAGGCAGGUCUCUGGGAAGUAACUGACGCUGAGGAGCGAAAGCAUGGGUAGCGAACAGG